rnacentral:rRNA from 1 species
UACGUAGGGUGCAAGCGUUGUCCGGAAUUAUUGGGCGUAAAGAGCUCGUAGGCGGUUUGUCGCGUCUGCUGUGAAAACCCGAGGCUCAACCUCGGGCCUGCAGUGGGUACGGGCAGACUAGAGUGCGGUAGGGGAGAUUGGAAUUCCUGGUGUAGCGGUGGAAUGCGCAGAUAUCAGGAGGAACACCAAUGGCGAAGGCAGAUCUCUGGGCCGUAACUGACGCUGAGGAGCGAAAGCCAGGGGAGCGAACGGG